AGGGACUGCCGGCGACAAGCCGGGAGGAAGGGUGGGGAUGACGUCAAGUCAUCAUCGGCCCUUAUGUCCGAGGGCGACACACGUGCUACAAUGGCCGGCACAGCGGGAAGCGGAGGGGCGACCCUGAGCGGAUCCCUUGAAAGCCGGUCCCAGUUCGGAUUGCAGUCUGCAACUCGACUGCAUGAAGUUGGAAUCGCUAGUAAUCGCGGAUCAGCCAAGCCGCGGUGAAUACGUUCCCGGGCCUU
rnacentral:rRNA from 1 species